AGUUAACACGAGGUAAGAAGUUUUGCGAGAAGGAAACUAUCCAGACGUUAGCAACAUUAUUUGAUAGCUGGCCUGGGAUAGACAACAACAUCUCAUCGUGUAACAUGAUAAGUAAAGUAUUUUGUCUAUUGUUAUCAUGGUUUAUUUGUUGUUUCUAAUAGAUUCACUUGUAGAUUUAUCUUCCCUAUGUAUCCAUCGGCCGAUACAUCUUAUACGUCAUCGACAAAGAGGCACGUCGUCUAUAUAUUAUAGACCCUAUUCAAACAUCACAAUCUUAGAGGAUAAAAAUUUGAGGCAUGCACUGAAAUUUAAAAGUUUUGCAAGGGAUUUCAAAGAAGCACUCGAAAUAAAGCUGCCUGGUUGGAAUUCCGAUAUAUCUAAAUGACAACAUUUAUUUCUGGUUGGUAUUUCAACAAGUAUAGACGGGAAUGUGUCGGGCUAUUUUGUUUUUCAUUUUAUGUUCUGGUGGAACAGUCAAGAAUUGGUCAAGCCGGUUUGCGAGGAUGGGUAUGAGUUGAGGAAAUAAUUUUUAUUAUACUUUCUAAAACAACGUGGGAAUGAAGCUAAAGGUAACUUUCUUGAUAUUGUGAAAGAAUUUUUUAAGCACAUCAUCUAGAUAUUGACAGUUUUGUAAUAGAUGUUAAGAUCGAACAUGGCUCAGUUUG